AAAACCACCACUACCACCAACCACCGCCACCACCACCACCACCACCAUCACUACCACCAAACCAUGGGAUCGCUUGCAGUCAGGACCCAGACAGAACAAUGGCACUUGACUCCCAUCCCAAUUCCUUUGGGAGUUGAGUGAAUAUCUGAAUAUCAGAAAUGCACUAACCCAGCACAUGAGGCCAGCCCUGGAAUCAUGCAGCCUCCUAAAGUCCUGGCUCUUCAUACUCUGCACAUUUUGGGAGGACCUGAGCAUUCUAACCAUGCAGCAGAUGGGCAUCCCCAGUGUUUCUCUUCAGAAUUCUCCUCGUGGACUCACAUUGAAGCAGCAGCGGCGGACACCUGAGACAACAGGAUGAGUUCCAGUCCACAUCCUGUCGGUCAUUGCUACCACCUGACACUUUUCUUCUCCUUCCUUGGAUCUGCCUGCAGUCCGGCACCCCCUCGCCCUGCUAUCUAAGCCCAUCUAAAAUGAUCAGAGGAUCAGCAGAACCAGAGGGAAGAUGAGAAGGUUCCUGGGAAAGGACUGAUCUAAUAAUGGCAGACUGUUUGUACAGGGACACCUUGCAUAAAAGGGGGAGGGGUUCAUCAAUCAACAGUACGUUAUGACAACUUUUGCUUCCCCAAGCACUAACAGAGAUUAGAUUAGACAUUGGACACCGGAACAAGCCAGUGCCUCUGCCAUCCCAUAAAGAGGAGUUGUACCUUCCAUGUGUCCCCGUCAAGGACUGACUGGAGCCAGCAGAGGAAGUUCCCAAGAGUUCAGUGGAAGGGAGUAUGUUGAAUCAUAGAGUCAGAAAACCUUUGGAAGGCUCUAAGAGGACCCUGAGGGGGUACUUAUCAAGACUAGUUUGACCUCUAUGAUCACCUGGACCUGGCUCAAUCCUAAAACAGCUAUUCAGGUCUGUCAAGCGACAAGACAAAAAAAUGCAACAAAUCCAUUUAAAUGUAGUUUUAUGGGCAAGUGGAGUCUUCAGAAACAAGUCUCCAUGGCUCACAGAAAGCCGUUCAUUUUUAUGGUUAGGCUUGAUGGAGACCAGACAGCUGCACAGACAUUGGAUUGGACAAGAGCAAUCAGAUUGUGGAGAGAGGGAAGGUAGAAACGCAGCAGAGAGAGAGAGGUCCUCCUUUGGAGCCCCUUCACUUCAGCUCAAAGUAGUCGGCAUGCCAGGGUGAGAUACUUUAGGGUUCCAUUUUUUUUAGCUCCACUGUAGGAGUAUAACCCCCAGCUUCCAGCCCUGUUUUGCAGAAGUGUUGCUCUCCAGCCCAGACUUCUAGAAGUCUCUUUCUGACCCUCAGUGCUGUCUCAGCACUGGUCUUUGCCCACACUGCUGCGUCUCAGUGGUUCUCCUGCAAGCCACACACCCAGCUUCACGAACUGCUGUGAUGGGGGCCAUCUUCUCAGUGACAGGAUGAAUGGUGGAGGCAGUGACUUGUCCUCUUCACCUGGGGCCAGGGCAGGGGGCAGGGGGAGAACAGUAAGACAGAGCAGCAGUAAGGCUGGAGAAGGUGGUUUGCUGGGAGCAGGACACAGUCCCCAGUCCCCAAGGGAGUCCUAGGAAUUCUUAUCGUCUGAUGCUCACACCUCUGAGGAAACCCACCCUGAGCAGGUGCUGGGUUCAGAAGCAGACUUCUAACAGACAGCUAUGACAAGACAGGGGGUGUAUGCCAGCCAAACAUUUUGUUGCUCUGACAAAUGCCUGACAGAAAGCUUAAAGGAAGGAAGAUGUACUUCGGUUUAGGCGUGUUUUGCCAGUGAGACAAGCUAUACCUCAAUUCUCAGUACUCAGACACUGGGGAGACAGUAUGUGUUUUCUGUUUCUAGAUAUAGCAUUGUGGUAGAUCAUUGUACAUCAAUAGAUAAUUUAUAUGGUAAAUGUUAGUAUGGGACCAUUUUCUUGAUUUCUGAGAACAGUUGAGAGGGAAAAGGCUGAAUCACUAAAUGAUCUCGAUGACCAUAAAGUUCACUUUCCUUAAGGAUACCAGUAGUUUAUCUCAGUCAUUUAUAGUCUCUCAAAGCCCCCACUACCCUGUGGCAGGAGAAAAGUCUCUACAGACAGGGUUGAUAACUAAAAGAUGUCAGGAAACAUACUGCCUGGCCUU